rfam:Phaethon lepturus contig1486, whole genome shotgun sequence.
CUAGGAGAACCGAAAACAGUUCUAGACUGACCUGCGGUUUUAUAGCACUUUGGCAGUCAACUUCAGCUUGUGUCAGAGCAGACAUGACAGAGCUGCCCAGCGCCUAAUCGCGGGACGCCACCUCCUCGGACUCCCAGCAGCGCCCCCUCCCCCCGCCCCCCGCAUUUUCAAUAAAUUUUCAAACUUUGGGACUAGAAAUGGGGAGCAGAGCCG